rnacentral:rRNA from 1 species
GUCAGAGCCAUAUCUCACCUGGUUUCCCACUGAAGCUACGCAGGGUUGAGCUUGGCCAGUACCUGGAUGGGAGAACUCCUGGGGAAAACUAAGGUUGCUGCUGGAA